rnacentral:rRNA from 1 species
GAACGCUAGCUACAGGCUUAACACAUGCAAGUCGAGGGGCAGCAGAUCGAAAGCUUGCUUUGAUGCUGGCGACCGGCGCACGGGUGAGUAACGCGUAUCCAACCUUCCCUAUAGUAGAGAAUAGCCCGGCGAAAGUCGGAUUAAUGCUCUAUGUUGUAUUUAGAAGACAUCUGAAGAAUACCAAAGGUUUACCGCUAUAGGAUGGGGAUGCGUCUGAUUAGGUAGUAGGCGGGGUAACGGCCCACCUAGCCGACGAUCAGUAGGGGUUCUGAGAGGAAGGUCCCCCACAUUGGAACUGAGACACGGUCCAAACUCCUACGGGAGGCAGCAGUGAGGAAUAUUGGUCAAUGGACGGAAGUCUGAACCAGCCAAAGUAGCGUGCAGGAUGACGGCCCUAUGGGUUGUAAACUGCUUUUAUAUAGGGAUAAAGUCGGGGACGUGUCCCCGUUUGUAGGUACUAUAUGAAUAAGGACCGGCUAAUUCCGUGCCAGCCGCCGC